CUUCGUAUUUGCCUGUCAGUCUGUCUAAUUCUGGGGGCAGCAGUUUGUCCUGUGACGUCCCUUCUCUUACAGAUUUAAAAAGAGUUGAUUCUCAAGUUUGUUCAGUUUUUUACUUGUUGUUAGGACAGAGAGGUGACUUUUAGCCUCAUAUGCUGGACCAGAAACCAGAAGUCUUAUCAGAGUCUAUCUUUGUUUUUAUUGUUAAAUAACAGAUUACCACAAAUUUAGCUACUUAAAAUAAUACUGAUUUAUUAUAUCACAGUUCUGCCAGUGUGAAAACCAGGCACAACUUGGCCAAGUUCUCAGCUCAGGUUCUCACAAGGCUGAAAUUAUGGUGUCAGCUGGGCUUGAUUUGGAGACUUGGCUGAUGAAGAAUCUGCUCUGAGGCUCGCUCAGAAGCCAUUCCCCUGUGUCCCCCUCCAUCUUCAAAACCAGCAGCAGAGAACCUUCCUGGUAUUGAGUCCCUUUCCUGCUUUCAAUCUUUUCUUCAGGGUGAGCGUACAUGAUUCAGUCAAACUCAGCAGACAGAAGGAUGAACCAAGAUCUCAUUUAACUAGUUGAUACCAUAAGAGAUGAGGUCAUUUGGACUGGUCAGGACGUGUGUUGUUUUUGAGUCCUAAGAUGGAUGUUGCGUUGUCUAUAUCAAUAAUUGUAUUUUAUAUAAAUAUAAGCACCUGCUUAUAUGUGCAGAACAGAAAAAAAUGUGGAGAAAGAGAACAGUUCAGAGGUUGCCUGGAAUAAAGAGGUGAGAGCAAGGAUUGACUGUAGUACACACAGGGAACUUUUUGGGGGUGAUGGAAGUAUUCUAAAACUAGAUCUUGAUGAGUCUUGCACAAUAGUAUAAGUUUACUAAAACUCAUCAAACAGUACAUUCAAAAAUUCCGAAUUUUUAAAAUUCAAUUUACACUAGCAUCAAAAAGAAUAAAAUGCUUAGUAAUAAAUUUAACCCAGAAGAUGUAAGACUUGUGCUCUGAAAACUACAAAACAUUGCUCAAAGAAGGGAAAGAAUACCUAAAUAAAUGGAGAGACAUGCUGUGUUCAUAGACCGGAGGACUUAUAUUGUUAAGAUGUCAAUACUUCCCAAAUCGACAGAGUCCAUGCAACCCCGAUCAAAAUGUCAAUGGCCUUUUUUGCAAAUGUCCUCAAAUUCACAUGGAAGUUAGAAGGAUCUCAAAUAGCCAAAACAAUAUUGAAAAAGAAGAUAUGUAAGUGACUAAUGAGCAUGUGAAAAUAUGUUCAACUUCACC
ensembl:lncRNA